CUCCAUCGACCUCAACACAACAACGAUUCUCUCAAUCACCUUAAUCUUUCGAGAGUCGCUUCAUUUUUUUUUCCUUUUUAGUUGAGCUUCCUCCCAUUUUCUUUCUACUAACCUCACCCUCAAAACCAUUGUUGUGUUACAGAUGAGAAGAAGGAAAGAAAGGUUGUUCGUGUAAGGCCUACAGUUUGGGCUCGGGUGGGUCCCCUUUUUUAUUU
rnacentral:lncRNA from 1 species